rnacentral:rRNA from 1 species
AGAGUUUGAUCAUGGCUCAGGAUGAACGCUAGCGGCAGGCUUAACACAUGCAAGUCGAGGGGUAUCCGUUUUCGGACGGAGAGACCGGCGCACGGGUGCGUAACGCGUAUGCAACCUACCUUUUACAGGGGAAUAGCCCAGAGAAAUUUGGAUUAAUGCCCCAUGGUAUAUUUUUAGGGCAUCCUAAAGAUAUUAAAGUUCCAACGGUAAAAGAUGGGCAUGCGUCCUAUUAGCUAGAUGGUAAGGUAACGGCUUACCAUGGCUACGAUAGGUAGGGGUCCUGAGAGGGAGAUCCCCCACACUGGUACUGAGACACGGACCAGACUCCUACGGGAGGCAGCAGUGAGGAAUAUUGGACAAUGGGCGCAAGCCUGAUCCAGCCAUGCCGCGUGCAGGAAGACGCAUCUAUGGUGUGUAAACUGCUUUUGUACGGGAAGAAACACCUCUACGUGUAGAGGCUUGACGGUACCGUAAGAAUAAGGAUCGGCUAACUCCGUGCCAGCAGCCGCGGUAAUACGGAGGAUCCAAGCGUUAUCCGGAAUCCUUGGGUUUAAAGGGUCC